rnacentral:lncRNA from 1 species
NNNNNNNNNNNNNNNNNNNNNNNNNNNNNNNNNNNNNNNNGAACUUUCAAAGCUCAAAGAAAAUGACACUCUGACAUAUGCUAGGGAGUUCUUGCAGCGUCUCAUGGGUAAUUUUCAAAAUGAGAAUGUGGAACUGAGACACAGAUUUAUUAAGGCCCUUUUUCAGAUCCUCACCACUAACCUAAACAAACACACAGAUACUGACAAGAUACUCAUAACCGUACUGGAAAAAUGUACUGGAGAAAAACUGCCUUCUGAUAAGGUUUACACUCUGACAUUUCUUGAGAGUCUCCUCAGAGUGUUUGCUGGCGAAACAGAAAGUAAAACAAGCAGGGGAUUUCAGAUAGGCAAAUGUUUGGAAAUUUUAUUUGACUGUGCAGUUCAAUUCCAUUCCCAGAAAGAACAAGCUCAAGAACUUUUCCAAUUGUUGUCCAAUCUUGUGGCACAAAACCUUUGGUCGCCAACAGAAGCACUGAAUCUCCUGGGAGAAUUAACUGACCAUCAUUUCACUAAAGACUGUGUUUCCAUCAAACAGAUUUUACAUCUGAUGGAGACUUAUCAGGUUUCUUCUGACUGGACAGAUGAGCAGAAUCAGUCUCUUCUUAAGCUCUUGAAUUCAUUAAACACCCCAAAACUGAUCCAGUAUAUAGAAAAGAGCUUCGGAGACGAGAAAGAGAAAAGCAUUGAUUGUCUUUUUGAUGAAAUACGGCAGAUGAAAAACAUUGAUGAACAAACUCUGGAGAAAUCAUAUUGUAUAGUAAAGGCUGUUACAGAAAUGAUUAAAUCUGGUGAAAUUAAAAAACACACAGACAUACAGCAAGCUAAGAAGCCGAGGCACAGCACAGACACAGAAGACCUUCAGGAGAUCUUGGCAGUCAUAUGCAAUGCUGUACACCAGUGCAAUGCUGAAGGGAAGUGGUGGCCCAGAGCCACUCAAAUGAUAAGCUGGUGCCUCUUGGUCUUGUCUGACACUGGAAAGCUCCUGGAGAUGGGAACUGGAGAAGGGAAGUCUUGCGUCAUAGCAAUGUUCGCAGUGCUGCGUGCACUUAGAGGUGAAAAAGUCGACGUGCUGUCCAGCUCUUCUGUAUUAUGUCAAAGAGAUGCACAAGAAUGGACCAAGUUCUACUCGUGGUUUGGCAUCACAGUUGACACAAACACAGAUAAAACUGAAG